CCAACCGUAUCUGAUUGGUCUGCAAGAGUGCGUCUUGGAGGAGUUCUUUCAGCCAUCUCCUCUAUUAUUCUAUUUGGUGAAGGUGAUAGUAAUAUGUCAGGUGAAGGAAACAAAUCCCUAGAUGGGCGUCUGACUCUCCUUCUCCCUCUUGUUUUGCUUAAGCCUUCAAGAAGAGGUUGCGUAUUUUUCUUGCUCCUAGUAUGUCUCGUCUC
rnacentral:lncRNA from 1 species